AUAUAUAUAUAUAUAUAUAUAUAACAUAGAAUCUGUAUUCCAGUUUGGUGGGAUAUCUUACCCAAAGCCACGUGGCUGUCUUGUGACAGAUACCGUAGUAGAAUUCAAGUUGUCUGGCUCCUAGGCCGGAUUCAUUCACUGUGCUAGGUGUUGGGUCUUUUAUUUUGUUAUUCUUCUUUUGAUCGGAUUUCUCUCAUGCCAUGUGUUGAUAAAGCCGGAAGUCUGAGAUGGUCUGUUUUCAAGAAACUAAGUUCUAAAUGUAGAGCUGCUUGUUGUUGUUGUCGGUGGUGGUGUAUGCAUUCAAUUUGAAGGAAAAUUUACCAGGUCAAUAAUACACACGUUUCCACACAUUUUUAAAGCAAUCAGUGAGCUGGCCUUUUAAAAUUUCAUCUGCGUUAAAACAUCCCUCUGCCGAGGCAAGGAAGUGGACAUUGAGGUAUUAAGCCUGUCCUUCAGCCAAGCACUGAGGGCCCAAGUGUUAGAAUUAAAGGAAAAAAAAUUUCCCAUUGUAUUAAUAUAUUUACAAAAGAAAAGUCAUAAAUAAAAGCAGUGGCCAUGCCUCCAUUC
rnacentral:lncRNA from 1 species